GUUUGGAUUUGAUAUCCCGCUUUAUCACUACCCUACGGAGUCUCAAAGCGGCUAACAAUCUCCUGUCCCUUCCUCCCCCACAACAAACACUCUGUGAGGUGAGUGAGGCUGAGAGACUUCAGAGAAGUGUGACUAGCCCAAGGUCAUCCAGCAGCUGCAUGUGGGGGAGCAGGGAAUAGAACCUGGUUCACCAGAUUACAAGUCCACCGCUCUGAACCACUACACCACACUGGAUGAAGCUCAGGCACCUAUGUUUUGUGGUAUAAGAAUGGAGAGAUGUGGAGGUAAAGGUGAGAAGGUUGUGAAGGACCCAGGAACAGACAGG